UCCAAGUAGGAAGGAACAUUUGAAAUGAGCUUUGAAGAAGAGGAGGACUAACAGAUGGGAAAAUUAUAAUAUUUCUCAGCUAGCAGAGAUUUAAUUUUCAUAAAUUAGAAUCAUGAACUCAGAGCCUAAUUAAGCAUCCUAAUAAAAUCGUGCUACAUACCUCCAAUCCACAUCUAAGUCUUCACUCACACUGGAGUCAUCCUCCAGGUUAUUGUUACCAUCCAACAUGAAAGCUGGCUGUGCAAAUUCAUUGGCAGGUUCAUUUCCCUCAUCACUGCUGCUUUCAUUGACUUCAUUGUACUGUAACCAAGGAAUUUCUCCCUCUUCCAAGGAUGUCUGUUCCCUAGUACAAACAUUUUAAAGGAAGAAAAAAAUAUUAUUUUAAAACAUAC
rnacentral:lncRNA from 1 species